AACUAGGCGCGGCCAAAAGGAGCCCCAUCCAUCUAUCACACGUGUAGACAAAGGGGGACUCCACAACACAAAGCUAGAUGUGCCCUCUCAAACUUUUUACCACGACGCACGGCGACGCGCACACAGCUCAGCACAGCACCCACAGGAUCCGUCCUGUGAUGGAUUUUAACACCAGAUUACCCAGCAGAGCGCUUUCUCUUGAGGGAGGUUGAGGAAAUACAAAUAUGUGGAAAUCACAUGGAAGAUGUACUCAGUCACCUAUCAAGCAGCUUUGGAGACGUGUAGGAGGAUUAGGAGACUGUGCAGUUUUUCUUUUGGAGUAGGUGAAGACUCAUCUCUGCAGGAUUUAAACCUCAGCAGCAGCAGCAGCCGUGCCAGGCGGGAUGCAUUUUAGGCACACUUGGAAAUCUAAAACUCGUGGAGACACUUUAAGGAUUACAAAAAUGUGCAGUUUGUCUCUUCACAAGAUGCAUCCAGAGCCAAAGCCCCAAGUCACCAGGAGUGUGUGUGAUCCUCUUGGGCCCUCUGCAUCAUGGGCACAGUGAGAUGCUGCCGAGCCACCACAGACAGCGAGAGCACCCAAGCCAGCCUCCUCCUCAGUUCACCACCAGUUCACUCGACUCCACACUGACAAAAAUGUUGCUAGACAGAAAAUGCAAAUUUGACAAUGACAACCACAAAUGUUAACACCACUCCUCAAAAAAGUUCAGGUACCAAUUUGCAUCCACUUGAAAGAGUAACUCCAGACUUUUUUAGACAAGGUUCUGCAUUAUUCUGGUCUCUGAGGGACUCGCCGCUCUCUUAGUCUGGCGAGCAGAUAAUAUGCUGUCAUUUGUGCUGACUUAUGUGUCCCAGGAGCUUUCCACAGUAUCUAAAUAUAUUGUUAGACUUUGUAGAAGCAUAAACUGUUCAUUUAUGAAAACACCACGCUAAGUGACAUCUUGUUUUUCUUUAGAAGAGUGCAUUCUGGGACAUAUAGUUCCAGCAGAAGUUGGAGCUGUCCCUUUGUAAUGUCCUUGUACAAACUUUAAUCCAACUUAGUUGAUGGAUUGCCUCGGUCACUUUUCACAGCGUGGAUGGCUGGUAAUCUGGUUGGCUGACAGGCUGGUUUACAGGCUGUUUCACGAGCCAAAGAGAGUGUGGAGGAUAGACAAGUUGUCCUUGUCAUGUGGAGUGUUUUAUUUCCUAUUGGACUUUGCCAUUAGACAAGAAUGUAAGAUCCCUUCUGAGUUGUGCACCCUCUAUCAGUCUCCUCCUUAUAUUCUCUACUUUCACUACCUCUUCUGUCACUUUUUCUCCUCUUCUCUCCCCCCUCUCUCUCUGAUUCAUGCUGUUAUGCAUAGCUGUCUUUCAGUGUUUGCACUCUAAGUUUCCUUGCGCCAAUGCAGUCCGCCUGUCACAGUUGGGAUGCCUAUCUGUCUUUUUCUCUCUUCCUGUCUUUUUUUCUCUUGAUCUCUGGCUGCCUUUCUGGCUGGCUGCACGUCUGUUUCUAUUUCUCUCUCUCUCUGUACAUUUCCCUGUCUGCCUCUUCCUCCCACUCUCCACCUCUCUCUGUCUGCAGCAAACCCGCUUAAGCAUAAAUGUGCUAAAGUGUUUUCUUACCAGUGGAUUUAAAAAAAUGCUGCUCUCUUCCUGUUUCUGGACACGUUUGUUUCUCAUGCCCAUUAUGGCUUGUUGAUCAGCCCCUCUUCUUUCUGCAGAUGAAAACUCUCUGCUUCCAUCACUCCCUGACUGAGUCACUGUCUCACACAGUCACCUGUGUUCACUUGAUCUCUGUGAGAGUUUGCUGCUUCAGAAGCUUUCACUCCUCAGGUUUCCUCUGACUUGCAUUGGGAUGAUGAUGAUUUAUUACAUUUCAAAGAGGGUUUUGAAUUACUUUGGUCUCUCUUUGUGUUAUCUAACUCGUUUACCUCGCACCAGAAAAGGUAAAUUAGGAUUCCAGCGAUGGGAGGGGAACUUUAGGUGUUAUCUAGUCCAUUGCGGACUGUAAUUUUAAACACAGAAUUCACAAACUUGCAGCCUGCAGCUUUUAUCAGCUCCAUAGGGAGUAAAAUAUCCGUAAUAUUAACAGAACUCAACUUGGUAUUUCAUGAUCUGGCCUUCAGAUAGGCCGCAUAAAUCAGCUGAUAUCAUGGAAAGGGAAUAUGAUUUGUACAAAGUAUAUUUUGAUGGAUGAAUCUUGAUUAUUUUUGCUUCGACUGUGUGUGUGUUUCCCCCAGCUUGUGUCCCUUGGUAUCCAUGUGUUCAUGUAUCUGUCUGUGCAUCUGUGUCAGUGCAUGUCUGUUUACACACAUACGGCAUGUGCCUGCCUCUGUGUGUAUGUACAGUGUUCACAUGCACCCAUACUGCACUGUUUUGCCCCCGAGUGCGUCUGUGUUUAUGUUAGGUUUCUCAGUCAACCCACCCAGGACAUCUCCAAUAGUUGACGAGAAAUUCCUUUUCAACCACUCAGACCAUCGCAACCAUUGUCCCAAACUGGGAGCCAUAAAACUCAAUUUCCCAUGGAGGGGGGGCUGAUGGUGAUGGGGCCAUUUUGAAGUCCAAAUGUUCUUAUCUCAUGCACUAUUAAGCGAGGCAGUGGGGUGUGUGGGUAACGGGGUUUAGAGUCCUUCUGUCACCGCCUCAGGGUAUAUUGCUUUGAGUGCACACACAUAAACACACACACACACAUUUGCAUGCCCAGUAUGAACGUAUACAUAUGCAUAAACACACAUAAAAACAGACAGUAAAACACACAUGGACACACACAGCUCUUUCACUCAUUCGGCCAUUAACACACACAAACAUGCACACCGCCCCGGGCUGUAUAGCUGUAGUCCUAUAACGGCCUCGGUGCAGGUCAGAGGGGUCGACUCAGACUCUCACUUCAUUAAUCACAUCUGGGAAGCUAGCAGCUUUUUAUGUAUAUGUUUCCAUAUGUGUUCACCCUCCAAUCAACUUUGACUUGAGGGGGACUUCUGAACCUAAAGCUGUUUGUUAAUUAUUAAAUUUGAUUGAGGAAACAAUGUAAUUGAGAGAAUGUUGCACACAUGUAAACACUUGGUUUCCAGUAUGUGACUGUGUUUAAUAUGACUCAGUGCAACAUGUUCUACACUGAAAUACUAUUUGUCUGGUUUGAGUCGUCUGAAGACAAUCUUUGCUGGUAUUGUUUGCUCUUUAUUUUCACUAAUUAAUUAGAAGGGUAGCCUUAUAGCCUUUGGCAGCCAUACCCACGAGGAGUGACACAUUGUAUCACUGGCGCCAUACAGCAUAACAAUAUUACAAUCAAUAAUCAAUGCAAUGCUCUAAGCUGCGUCACUGAUCAUGACUCUUCACAGAUAUGUUCAUCUGCACUUUACCUUUAAGGGCCUUUUGUUCGUCUAUGAAUCAGAUAUUGUGAUGUUACUGAUGACAUGAUAUGAUUGUCCAGUAUCGCUGGAUAUUAUUGUUGUUGUGGAACAUGUAUUGUAUCAUAUUGUAUUGUACCUUUUGUGAAUUCAAAUGUAUCAUAUGGUGUUGUUUUAUACUGUUUAAAUUGUAUAUAUCAUAUUGUAUCUUCUAAAUGUGUCAUAUUGCAUCAUGUUGUGAGUUACUCUAACGCUGACACUUUUGGCAUAAACUAAUACAUGGAUGUAAAAGGAGAAAUGACAUGAGGGAACAUGAAAACAGACAAACUAUAUUAUGUCUUCUUACCAACAGACAGGGGAUAGUAAUCGCUGUCAACACUAAGUUAAUGACACAGACUGCAUCUGGUGACAACCUUAAUAAAGACUGUUGUUCAACUCUU